rnacentral:rRNA from 1 species
UACGUAGGGGGCUAGCGUUGUCCGGAAUCAUUGGGCGUAAAGCGCGUGUAGGCGGUCCGGUAAGUCCGCUGUGAAAGUCGAGGGCUCAACCCUCGAAUGCUGGUGGAUACUGUCGGGCUAGAGUACGGAAGAGGCGAGUGGAAUUCCUGGUGUAGCGGUGAAAUGCGCAGAUAUCGGGAGGAACACCAAUGGCGAAGGCAGCUCGCUGGGACGGUACUGACGCUGAGACGCGAAAGCGUGGGGAGCAAACAGG